CAAAAAAAAGUGUUUCUUUUAAGUGGUAACCAUAUACAUAAUCAGUUGUUUUGGGUCCGAAUGGAACAAAAAAAUUGUAAUAUGAUGACUAACAAGGUUAGUAAAAAAACCUUUGGUAGUAGUAUAACUUUAAUUGAAUUUAAAUGCACAGUUUUUAAAUCCAAAUGUUUUUUAGAAAAUUUCUACAAUCAUAUUAUUUUUAUUUUACAAAACAGUAAUAAUAGCAUAGAUAUUUAUAGUGUUAGCGAUAGCAAAAUAAAUUAUUUUUUAAAAAAAAAAAAUAUAACAGCGACUUCAGAAGAAGAGCUAACGCCAGAGCUAAAGUCAGAGCCAGAGCCAGAGCCAGAGCUAAAGUCAGAGCUAAAGUCAGAACCAGAGCCGAGUCUUGCCAACAAGGACAAGCGUACUAAAUGUAGUAGAAUAUAUAUGAAAAAAAAAAAAAUCCAAAAAAUCAAUUUAAAUAAUAUGCUUACGCACUUGGUAACUUUAAAUGAUUGUACACUAUCCGAUUUUGACAUAACGAAUUGUGGGUUGGUUAUAUAUUUAUAUAAAUAUUUUUUGAAACCUUUUAUUUGUAUUAUGAAUUUGUUCGUUGAAACGAUUGUUAAAAAAAGUGGUUUAAAAACAAAUAUAGAUAGCAAAAAAAAAAAAAACGAAAAACUUGUUAUUAGUAAACCCGAAUAUAUUUGUUUGCCUAUAAUAAAGGGUCAAGUUCAGAGCGGCCUAAAUAAUAAUUUUAAGAACGGGUAUAUAAAUUUAUACAUAAGCAACAGUUUUAUUAAUAGUAUUCGUUUAGUUAUCGACUUAAAAAAACGAAUAAUUGCACUACCCCAAAAUAUACAUAAAUCAAAUAAAAAAAAAAAAUUUGGUUUGUUUUUUUUAAAAAGUAAAAAUAAUUUUUUUUAUGAUUUACGAAUGCAAGAUAUUUUUCAAAGAAAAAAAAAUUUUGCAAUACAAGAUGUGUUUAUUAAUAAUAAAACAAAUAACAAAAAAAUUGUUAUUACUUUAGUUUAUAAAACAAGAGAUAACCCGAAUAUAUGUGUUGACUCAAGUAAGAACCAAUACCAUGGCCAGUACCAUGACCAGUACCAUGACCGGGACCAUGACCCCGAUGGGUGUUUCACUUUUUUUCAAUACAUAAAUAGUGUGUAUCAUAAUGACAGUAAUAGUGGUAGUGGCAGUAGCAGUGGCAGUGGCAGUGGCAGUAGCAGUGACAUUCAUUAUUAUACUAUUUAUAAUACUAGCCUACCGCUUUUUCUUAAGCCUACAAAAACAAUAAUUAAUAUUUAUCCAUUUUACAACCAAUUAAACCUUCCAGAUUAUACCGAUGAAUAUUUUUUUUAUUUAUUAAACAAUUUUGUUAUUGUUUAUUUACAUUUGAGUGGUUCAGGUGGUGGGUUGCACAUAACGAACGAAAAUAACGUGACACGUAGGAAGAUGCUUGCAACAUCAACAACGUCAAAGACAUAUGAGAAAGUCCAAUCGAUUGAAGGUUUAUAUGAAUGUAUUAAUUUUUUAAAAUAUAAAAAUAUAAGUAAUACAAAAAACCUAUAUAUAUAUUUAUACUCGAAUAGCGGUUUGUUUGGUGGUCAUAUAUUAAAUAAUGAUAAUAUAAAAAAAAAUAUAAAAAAUAUUAUUUUAACUAAUCCAAUGCUAGACUUGUUUAACAACCUGACGAAUUUGCAGAAUUUGCAUGUACAUUCGGAGCAAGUCGAGUUUGGCAAAAUAAGAGCGAGUGAUUUUGGUGUCAGCAAAGAGGAGGAUGGUUGUGGUAGUUUUGGUAGUAGUGGUAGUUGUGGUAGUAGUGGUAGUUGUGGUGGUAGUGGUAAUUGUGGUAGUAGUGGUAGUAGUAGUAGUGAUGGUUAUAACAGGAUGUUUUUUGCUUCGGGGCGUGGACAAUCAGAAAAGUUAAGAAGAAGAAAGCAUCAGUUAGUAAAUAAAAUUUACAAAUGUUUAAAAAAAAAAAAAAGUACAAAUAACAAUACCUACUUUUGGAAUAAAACAUUUAGUUGUAGUUAUAAGUAUGUAAAAAAGAAAAUGCAAAAAAAGGAAUAUUUAAUUACACAAAGAGUUUUGCCAUAUAAAACUGAAAAGGAGUUUCUGUAUACUGCCCAAAACAACUUACUUUUUUUAUACUCGAUUUGUCCGUAUUAUAACAUCACAGCAAAACAUACAGAAGUAUAUGAAACAAACAAAAAGGAUAAAAGUAAUGAUCAAAAAUUUGUUGGUGAAACUAUAAGUAAUAAUAUAAACCCUUUUUUAAAAAAUAAUAUUAUUUUAUAUAUAAAUAAAUAUGACAACAUUUGUCCUAAUUACAAUUCGAUUAAAUAUUUUUUAAAAUAUAUGGAUUAUAAAAAAGUAAUAAUUAAACAUUUUUACUAUGUUUCGCAGUAUUAUUAUAAUGAUAAUACUUUAUUACAAAAUAAAAAAAAAAUAAACUUUUUAAAUUAUAAUGAAUUUGU
rnacentral:lncRNA from 1 species